GACGAACGCUGGCGGCGUGCUUAACACAUGCAAGUCGAACGGAAAGGCCCUGCUUUUGUGGGGUGCUCGAGUGGCGAACGGGUGAGUAACACGUGAGUAACCUGCCCUUGACUUUGGGAUAACUUCAGGAAACUGGGGCUAAUACCGGAUAGGAGCUCCUGCUGCAUGGUGGGGGUUGGAAAGUUUCGGCGGUUGGGGAUGGACUCGCGGCUUAUCAGCUUGUUGGUGGGGUAGUGGCUUACCAAGGCUUUGACGGGUAGCCGGCCUGAGAGGGUGACCGGCCACAGUGGGACGGAGAUACGGCCCAGACUCCUACGGGAGGCAGCGGUGGGGAAUAGUGCAGAAUGGGCGGAAGCGUGAUGCAGCAACGCCGCGUGCGGGAUGACGGCCUUCGGGUUGUAAACCGCUGUCGCCUGUGACGAAGCGUGAGUGAGGGUAAUGGGUAAAGAAGCACCGGCUAACUACGUG
rnacentral:rRNA from 1 species